UAACUAUACAAAGGUAUUGUAAUAAGUUUUUAAUUGAAUGCUAAAAGAAGGGACGUUUAAGUAAAAUCUUUUUUAAAAAUAAAAAUUAAUGUUUUUUUAAUUUGAGCAAAACCAAUUAUUUAUAUUAAGGACACGAAGACCCUAUGAAUUUAUGAUUUAAUAAACUAAAAAUUUUUAUUUUAUUUAAUCUUGAUUGGGGCAAUCAAAAAAUAUUAAUAACUCUUUAAAUUUAAAUGAUCUAUUAUUAAUAAUCUAAUGGAAUAACUCC
rnacentral:rRNA from 1 species